GAGCAAUCAAUUAUUUUUUCCGUGUCUUAAUUAUUAAAAUUUUUAGAUACAGAACACAGAGAAAUCCACAUAUUAGUUACUCAAUAGCGAAACUUCUAAAGUUGGCUUGGCUCCUGAUCAUUGGAAAAUCCAUACCUCUAGGAAAACACGAAAAAUUCUAAUACAAUAUUUUCAACUGACAAAAGCCCAGCCGCAGACAGGAGAGGAAGAAAGUUUUAAUUGACUUGCCCAAUGUGGAAUUGUUUUGUGUGUACCUGUUGUGUGCGAAUGCCACAACUAACAACUCCAGAAUCCGGGCUUCAGUCUGGAGCCAAGGAACACCCAAAUACCCAAAUUUCCCAGGCAACUUUCCAGUUGCUGUGAGCGAUAUAAGAACACUGAACAGAAAAAACAUCAAAAUAUAUUUUUUUUUUUUUAGAAUUAAUGCAAUUUUCGCAACACUAUAUAUUAUAAACGGUUUAGUCCUAUAUAUCAAAAUAAACUUAAAGUCAAACCAUUAAUUAACAUACCAAUCUAAUAGGCUUAACUUUAUAGAUCAUUUGUAUAUUUAAAAUGUGUAUCUUU
ensembl:ncRNA lncRNA:CR44601 long non-coding RNA:CR44601